ensembl:lncRNA
GGAAGACAGAAGAAAAAAGCAAUGAGGGUUGGCCUCACCUUCUUGGAACCCAGCUUCACCAACUGGAAUGGGAGUUUCCCAUUAUCAAAUUUUGUUUCCUGUUAGUUCCCCUUACCAGCCAUUGCCACCACCACCACCAUCACCAUGGAAGUGCUCGGGGCCUGGAGUGCCAGAAAAUGGAGAGAUGGAAGAGGAAACAAAAAAAAAGCAAACACAGUGCAGUGCUGCUCUCUCUCUGAGCAUUGGAAGUUCCCUUUCCAGCUCCUCGAGCCAUUACCAGAGGGAUUGUUUGACUGGUGCCCAUUUUCUGGGUCACCAGUGCUUUGUGUUCAGGUCAGGGGAUAUUGGAAGAACAAAAUGUCAAACUCACUGCCGAUUCAGUGGCACUUUUAAGUUUGGUCUUCUGCAGUCUUCCUCUGAUAUUUAAUUUCUCUGUCUUCAGGCUGUUCCCUGCUUUCUCUCAAGUUUCUAUAGCUGUAUUCAUUGAGGGAGACAGGGUGCUGAGUUUAAAGGAAUGAGUGUGGCUUCUGCCCUGGAGGAUCUUACAGUUUGAGAGGAGGAAGAAGAAAGCUAAGAAAUAAUGAUCAUGGCACAUGAAGAAGAUGAAGAAGGUUCUUCUCCUUGAAACACUUCCAUCCAUCCCCUUGUAAUGCCUCAGUGUCCUGCUAUUACGUCUGUGGAGUCAUCGUCUAUAUGGAAGAAAACUCCAUCUGAAAUUCAGUGGGGACUUUUGAAAAGUGGAAGAUUAGCCCUGAGCUAACAUCCGCCACCAAUCCUCCUCUUUUUGCUGAGGAAGGCGGCCCUCAGCUAACAUCUGUGCCCAUCUUCCUCUACUUUAUAUGUGGGACGCCUGCCACAGCAUGGCUUGAUAAGCAGUACAUAGAUCCGUGCCCAGGAUCCGAACCUCCGAACCCCAGGCAGCAGAAGCAGACUGUCUGCACUUCACCACUAUGCCACCGUGUUGGCCCCAAGUAGGCCCAAUCCAAAUUAGGUCUGAAAGGCUGCAAACAGAAGGUCAGAUAAAGCUAAACUUCAAAACAAAUGAAAAAAAGAAAAGGGAAGAAAAAAGAAUGGUUUGAGCGCUGUGUGAACUUCUGAAGAUCAGCUUCAAGGAUGCUGUGGAGAGAAGACAAAAUUACAUCCUGGGAAGAGCAUGAAGCAGAGAUCUGUGGACUCCCACUGAGAAAAGUUGACAUCACUGCACACUUCCCCCAUGAGGGUGCCUCGUCUCUUUGUCUCCCAAGAGACUGAGAAGGAGCUGGGUGGCUGGGUCUCCGCAUUGUCCAAAUGCCAGAAGAGCAAGGAGACAAGGGAACAGUGGGACUUGCUGCCAUUACCCCAGCAGGGGACAGCAGUCUGCUGCAUCUACACUAGCAAUCCCUGGGGGUAGAGAACACUUUACCUCCCAAAACCUGGGAGGUGAUGGAAUACAACAAGAUCUGUAAAAAUACGGAGAAAAAAGGCAACAUAUUAAGGUUCCAUCUGUUAGAGUGCGGAAACUUAGGUGGAAGAAACUACGUACAUCCAGUGAAAUAAGAUUGUUGGGGAGAUGUAUGAAAGCCUGAAUAAAAAAAAUUCGAAUCAUUUCAGUGAUUCAGAUCCAAGUGUAGAAUGAAAAGGACUUUUCAAAACCUAACAAUAGUUCCCUACUAAACAAUUAAAUGAAAUAAUACAAAGAAAAAACAAUUAAUUUUGAGUUCUAAUUGGUGGCCUCAAAUAUUAAGUGCAAAACAUAUUUGAAGCAGUGAGCAAAAAGCAUAAAGAGAUAACAAAUGUAGUGGAAAAGAUGAGAAAUCUGGGUGGUGGUUCCAGGAGACCAGGGUUCUGGAAAGAAGGAAAGAGAAAAAAAAUAAAACAUACGGAGAUGUCAAAAUUCAAAAACUGUUUAAAAAAACCCAGAUCAAUAAAAUUGUAUGUAGUGAAAGUUUAUUGUGUAUGUAGUAACAGUUCAUGAACUGAGAGUCUCCGAACCAGCAGUGGAAUGAAGCUCAGAGGCCUGUUGCUGUAGGAAAUCUUAUACACUGGAAAUGCAGAAGGUAUUUAAUCUUCAUAAUGAUUGGUUAUAGCAUUGGGGUUUUUCCCCAGACAGAGGAUUGGUUAAAGGUGGUAAUCUUAUGCUAUUUUUGGAAAACAAUUUAGGUUUCAUUCCUGACUUUCAGAAGCUUUUACAAGAAAACAGCCCACGUUAAGUUUCGCUUAUAUCGCAGGAUAGGCUAAAUUGGAUUUCAACUUAACUGGUUUUGUCUGCCCAGGGAAUUUUCAAAUCUGGUAUCCAUUUUGUAUUUUAUUUUACUAGAGAUGGUAAUUAAACACAUAAUGAAGCUAAUUCUCCUUGGGCCAAAUAAAGUUCUAAGUCUGUGGUAUGAAUGUACCUGGGCAUAGAUUGUGGUAUUCCUAAAAUAUGACAAAGAUAAGACAAGGAUGCAGAAGCAGCACAGCAAAGAUGCAUGAAUUUUCUAUGCUUCUGGGAAACAAUGCGAAAGGUUGAAUGGGAUUAAAUAAUCAUGGUGAUACUUAGUUUUAAAAUGAAGAUGACUGGGUCUUAAGGAGUGGAAUGACACUUUUAAAAAAUGAAGGUGACAGAAAAAUGUACAGAAUCAGACUGAGCUGUCACUAAAGAUGAGUGCCAUUCAGCUGAAAAAGGGUGAGGGAUGGAUAACAGAUCAGAGUUCAUAGAAGUUAUUGGAAAAAUAAAAUUGUCCCAUGUUUAUACCCUGAUGAGUCAAGACUGUUCAGUCAAACUGAUUAUACUUAUUUGCACACUGUCUCUUGUGAUUUGUCUCUUUGCUCUAAAAAUAAGUGUCAAAACAGCUCUGAUUAAUUGUAGUCUGGUGAAUGGGUUCUAUUUCCUAGAGGUUUUAUUGGUCAUUGAUGUGUGGAGAUGGAACCUUCAAUAUAUAGACUAAUUGUCCCCAUCACUCAUGGAAAACACUAAGACCCGGAAAGGACACCACAUAGCUCUUUGGAUUAUAAUGCUAGCAAACAUAUAUAAAAAUUACUGCAGGGGAGAAAGAGCUGAAUUUACAAAUGUAAAGAGGUAUUAGGCAAACUUUAUAGGUCAGUAUUUUUGUGUCUGUGAGCAUGCUGAUAUUUUUAAGCUAUAGUCAAGGUAAAUGAGCUAAGUAAGAAACUGAUUUUUAAGAUAUGUUUGUCAGCUAAUAUAGCAACAAAUGACUCAAUUUAAAAUCUGAGGUGAAAGAUACAUGUGUCUAAAUUGGUAAUAAACUACAUCUAUAUUCUGGGUCUGAUCUUUAGUAUUUUGCUAAUUUUGAUGUGAAUUCAAUAAAUAUUUUUGAACACAUGAUCAAAUUUUAUCAUACUAUCAUAACUCCUUGAUGGUUCAGGACAUCUGAUUCCAAGAGUCUAUUUUGAUGUCCCCAAGAAUUUACUCAUUUCUAUUGUUCCAGGUAUCCUAGUUUUUAGGUAAAACUGCUCUAGCAAGAUCUUUUAGCCAGAUAUUUUACCAAUUAUAUUAUUUUAAUACAAGAUGUUCUCUAUCAAAAUUCCACCUUACAGCUAG